rnacentral:tRNA from 1 species
GCAGUGGUAGUUCAGUGGUAGAAUUCUCUUCUUACCUGUGGGAGACCUGGGUUCAAUUCCUGGCCGAUGCA